AAGUCGUAACAAGGUUUCCGUAGGUGAACCUGCGGAAGGAUCAUUAACACGUAUCCAACGUUAAACCCCCUGUGAACCUUCAUUGUACGAGUUACAUCCACGUCAUAAACCGGCAAUCUCUGGUAAAUCAUCGCCGAACAGUUUUGAUUCAGAGACCUCUGAGGCAAUUGACCUGGCAUUCCUCUGCUUGUUAGUGUCUGAAAGUGUCACUAGCUAUGUACGGAUGUCGCAGUAACGAUCGCUGGAGGCCGACACGGCCGGCGACCAGGUCACUGGGCUACGGCCCCCCUGAUCACAACCUUUGCAUGAAAACGGGCCUGCGCUGAGGUGCGGCCACCCCUAAUGCUUGAACAACUGUUAACAAUGGAUAUCUUGGCUC
rnacentral:misc_RNA from 1 species